rnacentral:rRNA from 1 species
UACAGAGGUCUCAACCGUUGUUCGGAUUCAUUGGGCGUAAAGGGUGCGUAGGCGGCGGAGUAAGUCAGGUGUGAAAUCUCGGGGCUCAACCCCGAAACUGCACUUGAUACUGCUUCGCUCGAGUACUGGAGAGGAGACUGGAAUUUACGGUGUAGCAGUGAAAUGCGUAGAUAUCGUAAGGAACACCAGUGGCGAAGGCGGCUCACUGGCCCGAUACUGACGCUGAGGAGCGAAAGCGUGGGGAGCGAACAGG